GUCGCACUCACCGCUUCUGCCGCCGCAUCCUUAACCGCCGCGGCUGCUAUAGCUACAGGGAGCCAAGGCAACCAGCUCUCGCGACAGUUUCCACAGCUACGGCGAGAACAGCCGGGAAGAGCCUCUCGCAAGAAAAGAUGGAGCGAGCAAGCCAGAAAUUGACCUUUCCGUAUCUUCGUUAACCUUUCUUCAGGAAAUUCAUCCGUUCUUCCCCUACCCUGGUUUGUAAAGGACAUUUGACUUAACAGAAAUGUUUAUGUUUAUGUACUGGUGCCCCGCCCCCAUCAAUUCUCCCUACCAAAAUAGGAAAUAAAAGUUUGUUGUUGUUGUUUUUAA